rnacentral:rRNA from 1 species
GCUAGAGUCUUGUAGAGGGGGGUAGAAUUCCAGGUGUAGCGGUGAAAUGCGUAGAGAUCUGGAGGAAUACCGGUGGCGAAGGCGGCCCCCUGGACAAAGACUGACGCUCAGGUGCGAAAGCGUGGGGAGCAAACAGGAUUAGAUACCCUGGUAGUCCACGCCGUAAACGAUGUCGAUUUGGAGGCUGUGUCCUUGAGACGUGGCUUCCGGAGCUAACGCGUUAAAUCGACCGCCUGGGGAGUACGGCCGCAAGGUUAAAACUCAAAUGAAUUGACGGGGGCCCGCACAAGCGGUGGAGCAUGUGGUUUAAUUCGAUGCAACGCGAAGAACCUUACCUGGCCUUGACAUGUCUGGAAUCCUGUAGAGAU